AUUGAACGCUGGCGGCAGGCUUAACACAUGCAAGUCGAGCGAGCGGCGGCCGGGUGAGUAAUGUCUGGGAAACUGCCUGAUGGAGGGGGAUAACUACUGGAAACUGUAGCUAAUACCGCAUACCAUCAGAUGUGCCCCGAUGGGAUUAGCUAGUAGGUGGGGUAAUGGCUCACCUAGGCGACGAUCCCGAGCUGGUCUGAGAGGAUGACCAGCCACACGGGAACUGUGACACGGUCCAGACUCCUACGGGAGGCAGCAGUGGGGAAUAUUGCACGAUGGGCGCAAGCCUGAUACAGCCAUGCCGCGUGUGUGAAGAAGGCCUUCGGGUUGUAAAGCACUUUCAGCGAGGAGGCGUUACUCGCAGAAGAAGCACCGGCUAACUCCGUGCCAGCAGCCGCGGUAAUAC
rnacentral:rRNA from 1 species